rnacentral:rRNA from 1 species
AUGGCUCAGGAUGAACGCUAGCUACAGGCUUAACACAUGCAAGUCGAGGGGCAGCAGGACGAUAGCUUGCUAUUGUUGCUGGCGACCGGCGCACGGGUGAGUAACGCGUAUCCAACCUUCCCCUUAGUAGGGCAUAGCCCGGUGAAAAUCGGAUUAAUACCCUAUGUUGUGUCAUGAGGACAUCUGAAUAACACUAAAGAUUUAUCGCUAAGGGAUGGGGAUGCGUCCGAUUAGGUAGUCGGCGGGGUAACGGCCCACCGAGCCCUCGAUCGGUAGGGUUCUGAGAGGAAGGUCCCCCACACUGGUACUGAGACACGGACCAGACUCCUACGGGAGGCAGCAGUGAGGAAUAUUGGUCAAUGGGCGCGAGCCUGAACCAGCCAAGGUUAAGCGUGCAGGAUGACGGCCCUAUGGGUUGUAAACUGCUUUUAUACGGGGAUAAAGUGAGGGACGUGUCCCUUAUUGUAGGUACCGUAUGAAUAAGGACCGGCUAAUUCCGUGCCAGCCGCCGC